ensembl:lincRNA Gm11755 predicted gene 11755
GCCAUAUGAUGACACCAUCAAACUUGACCUCUUCCUGUCCCUGCAGGAGUCAGUUGAUGCAGAGUCCUGCCUGGCUCGGGCUCAGCCUUCGCCUGGGCCUUUGGUGGAUGAACCCUGGAGAGGGAAGAAUGGGCUUCUGGACCUGAAGAGUUCCAUGGCAGACACCUCCUUCUCAUAGCCACCAGUGAGCCCCUCCUCAGUCCCCUGGUGCACAGGCAGCUGGAUGUGACCGUGAAUAAGAGCCAUUGAUUAGUCUGUCACACGAAGACACUACCAGCAGCAUCCCAGCCAGCAGGGAAGAGGAACAGUUCUGCCGUCCCCAGAGCCCAAAGGAGCCCAGCAGAUCACAGACGUGGCCAGGGGUAUGCACUGGCUCAGGGGAGCUGUGUGGCCUCAAGGACGUUACCUCCCAUCUCUGAUCCUGUAAGAUGUGGUUAAAAACACCGAUGUCUCGGGGUCGUGUAGGGCUUAACAGGGUGAAGGACAGUGAAGAAUGGAGGUGCACUGCUGUGCUUGGCGGCCCACACCCAACUGCUCAGGAGGCUGAGGCAGGACAAAGCCUUAGAGGCCAGCGUCUUGAAGCAGCACAAUGAGAUUCCUCCAGUCUGUCUCAAAUACAUAAAUAGAUGAAUAAAAUGUAAAAUGACCAGCUGCUGGGAGAGGGAAGUGACUGAAGCAUCUCAAGGGCUUCUGGCAGAGGACCUAAGGCAUGAACUACAUCAAGGGUUCUGCCAUUUCCCUGAAGAGCCUCCCUUGGCAAGACGUGAGGACUCACAACAUUGUCCCAGCUCACUUCAGAGAUGCCCGCAGACAACUACCUCAGCAACACGAUUAGCCUCCAGGAUUCUGAAUGGGUUGCUCACCCACCGACUGAUGCAUGCUCAGACCCUC